rnacentral:lncRNA from 1 species
AACUUCCAUCGCUGAGCGCAGAUACAGAUUUUCAAUUACCUAAGUGGAAUGACCAGAUCAGAUACAGAGACAGCAAUUUGCUCAGGCCCACUUCUGGCUGGACAAACCAUAGUACGAUCUAUGACCACAGUCAUACCAACCCAUAAUGGUCCUAAUAGAUAUCUAUAGUCAUGACAUUACUUAGCCACGGGUGACUCCUAGAGAUAGUGCGAUACGACUCUCGUCAAAGAACACGUCGUCAUCCACUAGGAGCGGUUCUCUUACGUCUUUCUAGACCAAAUAAGGGAGGAGAAAACAGAUACCCUGAAGGGUAAGGGGAACAGAUACCCCUC